rnacentral:rRNA from 1 species
AGAGUUUGAUCCUGGCUCAGAACGAACGCUGGCGGCAUGCCUAACACAUGCAAGUCGAACGAGACCCCUGACUUCGGUUGGCGGGUCUAGUGGCGCACGGGUGCGUAACGCGUGGGAAUCUGCCCUUGGGUUCGGAAUAACUCAGAGAAAUUUGAGCUAAUACCGGAUGAUGACGUAAGUCCAAAGAUUUAUCGCCCAGGGAUGAGCCCGCGUAAGAUUAGCUUGUUGGUGAGGUAAAGGCUCACCAAGGCGACGAUCUUUAGCUGGUCUGAGAGGAUGAUCAGCCACACUGGGACUGAGACACGGCCCAGACUCCUACGGGAGGCAGCAGUGGGGAAUAUUGGACAAUGGGCGAAAGCCUGAUCCAGCAAUGCCGCGUGAGUGAUGAAGGCCUUAGGGUUGUAAAGCUCUUUUACCAGGGAUGAUAAUGACAGUACCUGAGAAUAGC